rnacentral:lncRNA from 1 species
ACCAGUUUCAGCUGCCCACAGGGAGUUACCUUCAACAUUCCAAAUUCCAGCAUCAAACUGAAUUUGCACUCUGUUCCCGCCACACCCACCAUCCUGGGGUCAGCACUGGCCUCUGGAGACCCCGCAUCUGGCCUUCAGGCCUGAGGCUGUGCUUCUGAAUCGUGAUUGGAGAGUCAAGCAAGAGCAUGCCAAGCUCACAAGAAGUCUGAGUCUCCAGGGUGCUGUGCAAACACAAAAUUGCCACUUGAACUCUAAAAAGCCGACGAGGACAUUAGAAUUAAGCCGACUACUUAAAGCCAGCAUAUACGUCAUCAUAGCAGCUAUCUGUACCUGCUUUUUGUGCAAUUUCUUCAACUCUUGCUCCUCAGUACAUUUUUUCCUUAUUUGCCGCUUACCUCAUUCAUACCAAGCAAUUCAGCAAGGGAAUAGUCUUCUUCAAAACAUUUAAAAUUGGAUGAAUAUUCCCUUUGAUCUCUUGUUUAUUUCAAUGUCUGACACCACACUUGACUGGUGAGCAUUCCUGGUCUCCAAGAGAAACAACCACUCUCCCCUGGGUGUUCCUUGAAAAUGAUGUUACUUUUCUCUGAUGGUAAACAUCACACAGACAUAAUACUGAAAACAGAAAAUUUAAUAAAGUAAAGACACGUUUGACCAUCUUUCUCUGGAGCUUCAGAAGCUGUUCAGUGUUUUAUAAGCAGUACAUGGCGUAAUGCAGGCAUACCCAGAAAGAUGGAUAGUCGUUCCAUUAUUUCGAGAUUUCCCUUGGUGAUCAUAGCUGCAAGGCUUUCACUGCUUCCUGGAUCGUUAUUACAUGAUUCCUGCCUUUUCAGCCUAUUUUUCUCUCACGUUCUUCUAGCUUGAAUGAGGAGUUUAUGUUUUCGGUAAAUAGAGGUAAGUUAAAUGAGGUUGAAGGUUUGGGGAGUCAAUUGAAAUCAACUGCUGUUAAAUAUGGAUGAAGGUUACAGGAUCAAAGCCUCACUUGCCAAAAGAAAAAAAAAAUCUCUUAUUUUGCACAGUUGCUGCUCAAGGGCAUUUCAAAAAGGGCUCUUUAGC